GUUUCAAUCAUAGUCAAGUGGUAGUGUGACUGUCUUGAAAACGAAACAUAAAAGUUCGACUCCAUACAAAAGCAGCUAAGAGAUCUCAUUACCUCUUAAAAAUAUGCAAAAAAUUUAGAUGGAAAAAAUCUGUAUGAUGAUAGUACAAAAUAACACAUCAUUUUCAUUUCAA
ensembl:snoRNA C33E10.11 ncRNA